GACGUAGGGCGCGAGCGUUGUCCGGAUUUAUUGGGCGUAAAGAGCUCGUAGGCGGCUUGUCGCGUCGAAUGUGAAAACCCGAGGCUCAACUUCGGGCUUGCAUUCGAUACGGGCAGGCUGGAGUUCGGUAGGGGAGACUGGAAUUCCUGGUGUAGCGGUGAAAUGCGCAGAUAUCAGGAGGAACACCGGUGGCGAAGGCGGGUCUCUGGGCCGAUGACUGACGUGAGGAGCGAAAGCGUGGGGAGCGAACAGG
rnacentral:rRNA from 1 species